GGACCCGCACAAGCGGUGGAGCAUGUGGUUUAAUUCGAUGCAACACGAAGAACCUUACCAGGGUUUGAAAUCAUUUCAAAACUCCUUGAAAGAGGAGCCUCCUUCGGGAUGAAAUGACAGGUGGUGCAUGGCUGUCGUCAGCUCGUGUUGUGAAAUGUCGAGUUAAGUCUCGUAACGAGCGCAACCCAUGUCUCUUGUUGCUCACUGAGUGCUUAAGAGAGACUGCCGACCAACAUCGGAGGAAGGUGUGGAUGAUGUCAAGUCAGCAUGCCCCUUACAUCCUGGGCUACACACGUACUACAAUGGUAAGGACAAUGAGCUGCGAUCCUGCGAAGGCUAGCCAAUCUCAAAAACCUUAUCUCAGUUCGGAUUGCACUCUGCAACUCGAGUGCAUGAAGGUGGAAUCGCUAGUAA
rnacentral:rRNA from 1 species